rnacentral:misc_RNA from 1 species
AACUUAGUUCUAUUGCUUUGGAUUCUGAACAAGGUUCUGAGCAUGUGCCUAGUGACAUUUGUGCUUGCGCAGCACUUGAGGUUUUACCCUAUCUAAUUCCAGUCAGGAAGAAAAAGGGUGUUAUCCCUUCUCACUUUCUGUAUUAUCCUCAAGAAGAUUCAGUUAGCCUGGAUGCGGUUUUAAAGGAAUCGGUCAAUCGUCCCCCGUUCAUCAUUCAAAUUGAAGAUUCCUUCCACGUCAUCGUAGAUAACCAAGUUUUGGUAACUUCUAACUCGGUCUCCGACGCAUUGUUGAACGUAUUUUCCUCUUACUAUGUUUUCUAUAUCGAAUAUAGUAAGCAAGUAUUGAAAUCAUUGUUGUUCCUGCAAAGUGAGGUCUUCGGUUUAAAAGAUGAUUGUUCCAUUAAUUGCCCUGGUUUACCUCUUUUUGUAAACACUUUUAAUGCUGUUAAACUGUAAUUGACCUUUUGUUCGUUGUCAUUGUCGUCGUCGUCGUUCAUUAAUGUUUCGUUGAACUGACAACAUUCAAACAAAAUGCAAUUUUGGUCGGCAAAGAGCAAUACAAAGUUUA